rnacentral:rRNA from 1 species
AUGGCCAAAUUCUGGUGGAGUGGAUCUCUUGAUCGGCGAUCUAUGCAUUGGCUAUCUUGGGAAAAACUUGCAUUACCGAAGUGUCAGGGUGGAAUGGGCUUUCGCGAUCUUGAGUUAUUUAACCUGGCACUACUGGGUAAACAUGGGUGGAGAUUUAUUUCUAAUCCCAACUCCUUAUGCGCCCACGUGAUGAAGGGGCGCUAUUUUCCGGACUGUGAUUUCAUGGAGGCUUCAGUACCAAACACAUCAUCAGCUAUAUGCCGAGCGAUCAUCGCUGGGAGGGAAGCUCUCCAUGUUGGUCUCAUCAAAAGGGUGGGGGACGGCAACACUAUAUCCGUUUGGGGUGACAAGUGGAUCCCG